AUGAAUACAACAAAGACACGACGGAAAGCAGAGCAAGUGUACCUUGUUUGGGAUGCUGUCGUGGUCGAGUGGAGGAAUCCUUCUGGCUCCGCGCGGGUUGUCCCUGUUCCCGGUAACGGCUACCAUCCACCUUUCCAGAGUGACAUCGUCGACUUCUUCUGGAUGGACUCUGGUCUCGUCCGCGGGCCCACAGUACAACCACAUGCAGUGGCUCCGGAACUGGAGAGGUUGGAUGCGGCGCUUGAGGAAAACCUCCAAGAGGUCCAUGCCUGUCACUCCGUCCCGAACCAGCUGCACCACUCGCUCCAUCAACAUCUUCACGUCGGCUUUCUCCUCCGGAAUCAGCUUCAGAGGGGAGGGCUUGUUCACUCGGUCCAUGGUAAACUGAGGGAGUCCACUCGACUGCCCUGGCGUCGACUGGACCUGGCAGUAGAACCAAGUCGACUGCCAGCCCCUGACGGACUCGGGAAAAGACAUGGGCGGGAAGGUGCUAUUGUUUCUCACCUGAAUCCCCAGGCCCCCACACAUUUGGACGACUCGGGUCUUCUCGUCACCUGGGCUCGCCUUCUUCACGGUCUGAGAGCGACACGUGAAGAUACGUUUGAACAGACCCCAGUGCGGUCGACAGCCCAAGAAACCCUCGCACAUGGACACGAACGCAGCAAGGUAGGCAAUGGAGUUUGGGGUAAAGUGGUGGAGCUGCGCCCCAAAGAAAUUCAGGAAACCCCGGAAGAAAAUGCUCGGUGGCAAGGAAAACCCCCGAUCGACAUGAGUGGCCAGGAGCACACACUCACCCUCUUCUGGCUGUGGCUGCCACUCCUUCCCCGGCAACCUCGCGGCUCCGUGAGGGAUCAAACCCUCGUCGGCCAUGUCGAGGAGGUCCUUCUCCGUGAUGGUCGACUGGAUCCAGUCGCCCUGGACCCAGCCUUUCGGCAGGCGGGAUCUGGACGAGGAUCCUCGGCGGCUGCAGGGAGGAAGAGAGCAGAGGGAGAGAGGGAGAAUGCGGAGGCGCAGCACAGAAAUCCUCGCCAGGCACAUUUAUAA
rnacentral:rRNA from 1 species